rfam:Pristionchus pacificus strain PS312 contig3688, whole genome shotgun sequence.
GGUACCCGAACCAUAAUCCAUGCGGGGUUCCAUUCGCAUGAGUUUCAUGGACUCGAUUCAUAGAUCUAUGACACUCAAUGCGAGAUGGGACCUCGGUGGACCAAUGGUUCGGUACC